AUGAACGCUGGCGGCAUGCUUAACACAUGCCAGUCGAACGGGAAGUGGUGUUUCCAGUGGCGAACGGGUGAGUAACGCGUAAGAACCUGCCCUUGGGAGGGGAACAACAACUGGAAACGGUUGCUAAUACCCCGUAGGCUGAGGAGCAAAAGGAGAAAUCCGCCCAAGGAGGGGCUCGCGUCUGAUUAGCUAGUUGGUGAGGUAAUAGCUUACCAAGGCGAUGAUCAGUAGCUGGUCCGAGAGGAUGAUCAGCCACACUGGGACUGAGACACGGCCCAGACUCCUACGGGAGGCAGCAGUGGGGAAUUUUCCGCAAUGGGCGAAAGCCUGACGGAGCAAUGCCGCGUGGAGGUGGAAGGCCUACGGGUCGUCAACUUCUUUUCUCGGAGAAGAAACAAUGACGGUAUCUGAGGAAUAAGCAUCGGCUAACUCUGUG
rnacentral:rRNA from 1 species